CCUUUCUUGAUUCGGUGGGUGGUGGUGCAUGGCGUUCUUAGUUGGUGGAGCGAUUUGUCUGGUUAAUUCCGAUAACGAACGAGACUCUAGCCUGCUAACUAGGCGAUUUCCGGUACCCACAAUAGUGUUACCGGCGAUUCAAUUUCUUCUUAGAGGGACAGGCGGCUCCUAGCCGACGAGACUGAGCAAUAACAGGUCUGUGAUGCCCUUAGAUGUCCUGGGCCGCACGCGCGCUACACUGAAGGAAUCAGCGUGUCAU
rnacentral:rRNA from 1 species